CUAGUACUCCCUCCACCAGGAAAUACUUGUCGGAGAAAUGAAUGUAUCUAGACAUAUUUUAGUUCUAGAUACAUCCAUUUUAUCCAUUUCUCGGACAAGUAUUUCUGGACGGAGGGAGUAUAUC
rfam:Hordeum vulgare subsp. vulgare, WGS project CAJW01000000 data, contig: morex_contig_270277